rnacentral:rRNA from 1 species
AUUGAACGCUGGCGGCAUGCCUUACACAUGCAAGUCGAACGGCAGCACGGGUGCUUGCACCUGGUGGCGAGUGGCGAACGGGUGAGUAAUACAUCGGAACAUGUCCUGUAGUGGGGGAUAGCCCGGCGAAAGCCGGAUUAAUACCGCAUACGAUCUACGUAUGAAAGCGGGGGACCUUCGGGCCUCGCGCUGUUGGGUUGGCCGAUGGCUGAUUAGCUCGUUGGUGGGGUAAAGGCCUACCAAGGCGACGAUCAGUAGCUGGUCUGAGAGGACGACCAGCCACACUGGGACUGAGACACGGCCCAGACUCCUACGGGAGGCAGCAGUGGGGAAUUUUGGACAAUGGGCGAAAGCCUGAUCCAGCAAUGCCGCGUGUGUGAAGAAGGCCUUCGGGUUGUAAAGCACUUUUGUCCGGAAAGAAAUCCUUGGCCCUAAGACGGUCGGGGGAUGACGGUACCGGAAGAAUAAGCACCGGCUAACUACGUG